rnacentral:rRNA from 1 species
GCGGCGGACGGGUGAGUAAUGCCUAGGAAAUUGCCUUGAUGUGGGGGAUAACCAUUGGAAACGAUGGCUAAUACCGCAUAAUGCCUACGGGCCAAAGAGGGGGAUCUUCGGACCUCUCGCGUCAAGAUAUGCCUAGGUGGGAUUAGCUAGUUGGUGAGGUAAUGGCUCACCAAGGCGACGAUCCCUAGCUGGUCUGAGAGGAUGAUCAGCCACACUGGAACUGACACACGGUCCAGACUCCUACGGGAGGCAGCAGUGGGGAAUAUUGCACAAUGGGCGAAAGCCUGAUGCAGCCAUGCCGCGUGUAUGAAGAAGGCCUUCGGGUUGUAAAGUACUUUCAGUUGUGAGGAAGGGGGUAUCGUUAAUAGCUGUGUCUCUUGACGUUAGCAACAGAAGAAGCACCGGCUAACUCCGUGCCAGCAGCCGCGGUAAUACGGAGGGUGCGAGCGUUAAUCGGAAUUACUGGGCGUAAAGCGCAUGCAAGUGGUUCAUUAAGUCAGAUGUGAAAGCCCGGGGCUCAACCUC